GGAUAUGAGGGCGAUCUGGUUGCAACAUCUGUCACCCCAUUGGUCGCCAGGGUUAAUUGGGCUGAUCUGGCUGACUAGGUGGGUAUCCCAUUCCUUUCCUACCACUCCAUGUGUGUCCCUCCUGAAGCUGCCCACUUGGUUGAAAAGAACAGCCUUCUUUAAUAGAGACAGACCAGUCUUCGGUUGAGGGUAUACAAGUAGCUGCGCUCCCCUGCUGGAACCCCCAAACAGGUUCUCAAGAAAUGGUUGCAGAAGGCCAUGCAGUGGCACCAGUGGCAUAAUUGGUUGAGCACACACAUUACCAUGCACAGUGAGCCAGGUUUGAGCU
rfam:Erinaceus europaeus unplaced genomic scaffold scaffold00283, whole genome shotgun sequence